rnacentral:lncRNA from 1 species
UCUCAUUCAGAACGUUUACUUUUCAUUAAUGUAUAGAGCCUUAUUUCAAUGAAAAUCAUAAGUGUACGAACGUUUUUGGGAGCCACUGUAUAUAAAAAAAAUGGGAAAUAGUCUUUGCAGUUUGAAAACAAGGCUUAAGGUUUGAAAACAAGCUUAAAGUUUUAAAAACAUAUCCUUUUGUAGAGCAAAUACUUAUCAGUUGAAAUUUUGCUUACUUACUUUUAUAGCCUUUUGAGGUCAUUGAAUGAGAAAACUAAUGAUCAUUAACACUGUCUCUUGAAUAAGGAUAGCUAUUAUGCUUUCGGAUUUUUUUUAGGAUUUAUUAACCAAAGGAUUAUAAUUCCUAAUUUUAUUUAUGGAAGUCAGAGUUUUGACUGCGACUCAUUUAACUGUGAGGAGGACAUGAAACAUAGAAUUUCUGAGUUUCAUAUUUCUAAGAGUUUUAUAUCUUUUCUUCCUCAUAUUUGUAGUGUGGAUCUUGAAUUUGACCAUUUCAUCUAGAAUAAUUUAUAGUAACUUUAUCAAUGUGCUAUAGGAGAGUGAUUAUUACCAGUAAAAUCAUAAAUUUGAUAAUGAUAUUAUUUAUAGGGUCAAGAGUCCUGUGACGCUACAUAUAACUGCAGACCAUUUCAGUGUAUUGAGUUUUAGUUUCCAUUUGCUGAAUCUGAUACUAACAUUUUAUAUUCUAAAGUUUCUUGACAGCAAAUUGGAUCUAGAUGGAAAGACUGAUGUUUGUAUUUGAGCUCUGCAGUUUGCUGGGUUAAGGACCGUUCCAUUAUGAGCUAAUGGAGUCAGUUUCUUGUGUCAACUAGUGUUGCUAUGCCUGCAGUUCAUAUUUUUCAACUUGCUGCUCUGUGGGGAAAAACUGGUUUUGGAGAUGGGUUGGCUACGUGAGUUGUCUCUGUUAGCUCAGAUAAACCCCAUUAGGAAUGGGCCUUCUGAAUUAGAAUUCAAAAGAAUGGAAAUUCACAGACUAACUACAGGGUAGUUUUUCCGCAGUUUAACAAUUUUUUGAAAUUUACUUCUGCACUCUGUACCUGUUAUUUAGUCACAUUCCUGUCAAUAAAAAUAGAGUUUAAAAAAUCAGUAUCAUAAGAAUUUCACGUAAAUUUACAGUAUUUUUUAGCUUUGCUCAAAGUAAUCAUGCCUUACAGCCAUGUAGAUAGAUGGUUACCAUCUCUGUACAUUAUUAAAUAUGAGUGUUCCUAAAAUGUAGUAUUCAUAAAAUUAUGAAUUCAUGAGGAUAUUGUUAAAAUUUAUUAUGCAGUUUUUUUAAGAAACGGUUAAAAGAUGUAUAGAUUCAUAGGAAUUGUAUAUUUAUUAAAUGUGAUGUAUUUUUUUCUUUUGCAUAUAUAUUAUCUAGUCAAGAAUAUUUUUAUAUACUGUUUAAUAACAACAUAUAGAAAGUGCAUUAUAUGAGUGUUUUUUUUUUUUUUUUUUUUUUAAGAUUUUAUAAGUUUAAAUAAAUUGCAUUAACAUGCUUGUGCAUUCAAAAAUACGGUGGUUGUAUUAAGAUUAUUACAAGUAUAUCCCAUUUUUUAAAUUAAAUAUAAACAUUUAGGAAGCAUCAAAUUCAGCAAUUAAUAUGUAAUUAAAUUAAUUUCUGAGAAGUAAAAUUUGUGCAAUGAAACAUAUUUUAUAUCUUUUUUAAUAUAUAUGAAUUAUAAAAUUAUUGAUUUAAUUAUCUUCUUUAUAAAAUAGAUAUCCCCCACUUUAUAAAACAUUUGUUACAUACUUCUCACUUUUAUCAAAGAUCUAAAUUAGUACCUUUUCAUUAACUGAAAACAUAAAUGUACAUUUUCAUCAAAAGUUCUAAAAGUACUUUUCUUUUUACGAAUAUAGUGAAAACAUUAUUCAGUGUUUGUUUUAUGAAAUUGUCUCAGAAGAGUAUAAUUGUAACAGGAAUUCCUGUGCACCUGAAAAAUCCUAGAAAGUUGGGAAUGAAAAAUUCUCAGUUUUGACGAGAGAAAAUUCUCCAUCUCCUUGGCCCUGUUUUUGUUUAAUUUUCAUCUUAUUAUGCAUUUGUUGAUUAUUUUUGCUUACAUAACUCUAAAAAAAGAUUAAAUAAGAUGUUAAUGGCUGUGCUCUUAUCUUACUUUUAAGAUUGAGCAAUUUAUUAUGAAUGGAUAAUUUAGCAUUGCUUAAAUAUCCUGGAUUAAAUUCAAUUAAAUUACAUUGCUAUGGAUAAAAACAAUUCCCAAAUAUUGUGAUAUUAUUUGCUGUUACUGCUGUUAUUCCAGCAGUGAGUUUUAUAGCAAUGACCAUAUAGUUUUCAUUUCCUUUCUGUGCUUUCCAUAGACAAUUUUGUUUUACACUGAUGUUUUUAUAAUAGUAAUUUUUCUAUUUAUCUUUAUUAAGCGUAUUUAUUUAUUGAAAGGGCUCAGUGGAUCAGAAAUUAAAUGUCUUUCUGUUUUUAUGGACUGAGUCAAAUAGCUGCCAAAACUCACAAAGUCCAGAAUAAAAUUCCCAAGUUUUAGUGUGUCUUAAAAUAUCCUGUUCUUCCACAUCUUUAAUUUUCCCUUAUAAAAACAUUAAAAGAGAGCAUUGUGGGUCUCUGAAAGAGCACUGCACAUAGUACCCUAUACUGGCUUACUGGAUCCUGUAUAUUUAUCACAUCACUUGCAUCUUUACUUUGCACUGUUCCACUUAGAAAAAGGUAUCAUAGCUCUGACUUAACAAAGUGGGGGAGAUCUGUACAGAAAAGUUGUAAAUAAAGACAAGUAAUAUGUAAGAAAAUAUUUUGUGCUGCUGUUUAAAUUUACGUAAAUUUUUCUGCUUAAAAUAUGUUUUAGUAUAACAUCUUGGACGUUAUUAUAGAAGCGAAAUGUACUGUAUCUGGGAUUUUAUUAUGCCUAAUAAAUUCCAAUAGUUGAUCAAAAGUCUCAGUGAAUUUUAAAUACCUCAACAUAUUUGAUAGCUGCAUGCAGUAUGUAAAUUGAUUUUAAAAUAUGAUUCUUAGUAUACCAUACAUUAUUUUUUAAAUGUGCCUGCACUAGGUAUCUCAAAAUGAAAUAUUUUCUUAUUAAAUGUAUUUAUAAAACAGUUGUAGUUAAGGCUAAGGAAAAAUGCACAGUAUAAAACUUUACAAUUAUCAGGUGCAGAUAGUUUCAAAUUCCUGUUACAGUUACACUGAAUAUAUGUACAUAAAGUGGGUUAUACCUGUUGUCUUAAUAUUUCAUCAGUUAAAAUUUUCAUACAUAAUUUGACCAUUGUAAUUGAAUUUUUCAUCUCUGCAUUUAUACUUUUUAUGUGCCAAAUUCAGAAAUGAAUUUCCAUUUGGAAUAACUGAGUGAUGCCUUGAACUUAUACAGUGAAACUUUACCAUGUUGUUCAAUCUGAAAUGUACAAUUUUUACCUACUUCAUAUGUAUUUCUUCUUUUUGGGGGAAAAAAGAAGAAAAUUUUAUAUUUGCAGUUAUUUAUUCGUACUUUAUAGAUUUGUCUUCCAGGUAUGUCAACUGUUGUUUGUAUUUUCUUUUUUUAUUUUACUGUAGUGUAUAUAUAUACACGUAUGUAAAAUUGCAAUACAUUGCAUAUGUUGUAAUAGUUUUGUCGCUUACAGUUUCAAGUUUAGUAAUUCCUUGCAGUUAUUAUAGCUUUAAUAUUAGCUAAAUGUUUUCAGUAAAUUUUGAAGCUUUCUAUCUCAGUGUAUAAAUUUCUAUUAGGGAAUUUUAGGAGGUUAAAUGUGUAAAGUUAUGCUAGUAAUAUAAAUUUUAGUAUUAUAUAUUUGUGUUGAAAAUUUUAAUUAAGUUUUUUCUGUAUUUGAUGUUUGUAACGUGUUGAUAGAACAGUUUGUAUGAAGAAGCUAUAAGUGUGAAAUAUUGUCUUUAAGAAACUUUUUCUUCUCUUCAGAUUUAUUUCCGUAUUGUUAGAAAUAUUUUAAUAAAUUGAAUUGAAGUAAA